GAUGAACGCUAGCGAUAGGCUUAACACAUGCAAGUCGAGGGGCAGCAUGUCUUAGCUUGCUAAGACUGAUGGCGACCGGCGCACGGGUGCGUAACGCGUAUGCAACUUGCCUCACAGAGGGGGAUAACCCGUCGAAAGACGGACUAAUACCGCGUACACUUGGAGGGAGGCAUCUCCCAUCCAGGAAAAGAAAUUCGCUGUGAGAUAGGCAUGCGUCCCAUUAGCUAGUUGGUGAGGUAACGGCUCACCAAGGCAACGAUGGGUAGGGGAACUGAGAGGUUGAACCCCCACACUGGUACUGAGACACGGACCAGACUCCUACGGGAGGCAGCAGUGAGGAAUAUUGGUCAAUGGGCGAGAGCCUGAACCAGCCAAGUCGCGUGAAGGAUGACUGUCUUAUGGAUUGUAAACUUCUUUUGUAGGGGAAUAAAGAACGGUACGUGUACCGUAGUGAAUGUACCCUACGAAUAAGCAUCGGCUAACUCCGUGCCAGCCGCCGCAGUAA
rnacentral:rRNA from 1 species